rnacentral:rRNA from 1 species
UACGCCAGUAUGUGUGGAGCCGUCCUUGAAAUACCACCCUUGUAGUGUUGAUGUUCUAACGUCGACCCCUUAUCGGGGUUGCGGACAGUGCCUGGUGGGUAGUUUGACUGGGGCGGUCUCCUCCCAAAGAGUAACGGAGGAGCACGAAGGUGGGCUAAUCACGGUUGGACAUCGUGAGGUUAGUGCAAUGGCAUAAGCCCGCUUGACUGCGAGAAUGACAAUUCGAGCAGGUGCGAAAGCAGGUCAUAGUGAUCCGGUGGUUCUGAAUGGAAGGGCCAUCGCUCAACGGAUAAAAGGUACUCCGGGGAUAACAGGCUGAUACCGCCCAAGAGUUCAUAUCGACGGCGGUGUUUGGCACCUCGAUGUCGGCUCAUCACAUCCUGGGGCUGAAGUCGGUCCCAAGGGUAUGGCUGUUCGCCAUUUAAAGUGGUACGCGAGCUGGGUUUAGAACGUCGUGAGACAGUUCGGUCCCUAUCUGCCGUGGGCGUUGGAAGAUUGAAGGGGGCUGCUCCUAGUACGAGAGGACCGGAGUGGACGAACCUCUGGUGUUCGGGUUGUGUCGCCAGACGCAUUGCCCGGUAGCUAAGUUCGGAAUCGAUAACCGCUGAAAGCAUCUAAGCGGGAAGCGAGCCCUGAGAUGAGUCUUCCCUGAUACUUUAAGUAUCCUAAAGGGUUGUCGGAGACUACGACGUUGAUAGGUCAGGUGUGUAAGUGCUGUGAGGCAUUGAGCUAACUGAUACUAAUUGCCCGUGAGGCUUAACCAU